rnacentral:rRNA from 1 species
AGAACGAACGCUGGCGGCAUGCCUAACACAUGCAAGUCGAACGCUUUUGGGGCUUCGGUCCCAAAGGAGUGGCGCACGGGUGAGUAGCGCGUGGGAACCUGCCCUGGAGUGGGGGAUAACCGAGGGAAACUUCGGCUAAUACCGCAUGCGCCCGGUUUACCUCGAAAGGGGGAAACCGGGGAAAGAUUUAUCGCUCUAGGAGGGGCCCGCGUCGGAUUAGCUUGUUGGUGGGGUAACGGCCUACCAAGGCGUACGACGGGUAGCC